AGAAGCCAAGCUGGUACCUCAGUGGGUAGGGGUUAAAAUCACUGAUCCACUGAGACCACCAGUGGCGAAGCGCUAGCCAGACGCGCUAGACGGUGAGGGAUGAAAGCUGGGGGAGCAAACCCGGAUUAGAUACCCGGGUAGUCCCAGCUGUAAACGAUGCAGACUCGGUGAUGGGCUAGCUUUGAGCCAGCCCAGUGCCGCAGGGAAGCCGUUAAGUCUGCCGCCUGGGGAGUACGGUCGCAAGACUGAAACUUAAAGGAAUUGGCGGGGGAGCAUCACAAGGGGUGAAGCCUGCGGUUCAAUUGGAGUCAACGCCGGAAAUCUUACCGGGGGCGACAGCAGAGUGAAGGUCAAGCUGAAGACUUUACCAGACAAGCUGAGAGGAGGUGCAUGGCCGUCGCCAGCUCGUGCCGUGAGGUGUCCUGUUAAGUCAGGUAACGAGCAAGAUCCCUGCUUCUAGUUGCUACCACCGUUCUCAGGAACGGAGGGGCUAAUUAGAGGGACCGCCGCCGCUGAGGCGGAGGAAGGAGGGGGCUACGGCAGGUCAGUAUGCCCCGAAACCCUCGGGCCACACGCGGGCUGCAAUGGUAGGGACAGCGGGCUCCGAUUCCGAAAGGAGGAGGCAAUCCCUCAAACCCUACCCCAGUUAUGAUUGAGGGCUGAAACUCGCCCUCAUGAAUAUGGAAUCCAUAGUAACCGCGUGUCACUAUCGCGCGGUGAAUACGUCCCUUCUCCUUGCACUCACCCCCGUC
rnacentral:rRNA from 1 species